rnacentral:rRNA from 1 species
AUGAAGAUACCUCCUAAGAAUAAAAUAUUUGCAUGGUAUCUUCGUCGCAGAGAUAUUCUUACUAAGGAUAAUCUUAUCAAGAGAAAUUGGCACGGAAAUCCGCAAUGUGUUUUUUGUCAUCAUGAUGAGACAAUAAAACAUUUAUUCUUCCAAUGCAAAUUGGCCCAGUCUAUAUGGUCUGUCAUCCAGAUAGCUUCUGGCUUGCAUCCUUCUUGUAAUGUUGCUAAUGUAUUUGACAACUGGUUACAUGGGAUUGGUCACAGGUUUAUAACUCUUCUUAGGGUGGGAGCGCUUGCCGUUAUUUGGUCGCUUUGGCUAUGUAAAAAUGAUAAGCUUUUUAGCGAUAAAAGUACUUCUCUAAUGCAGGUUAUCUACAUAUGUACCGGGAGUCUUCGUUUAUGGUCCUUUCUACAACACGUGAAGAAUCGAGACCUAUGUACGAAGGUGUGUACACGAUUGAAGAAUACGACGAGGGAUACUUUUACCCAACAUGGGUGGCAACAUGAUCUUAGGAUUGGUCCACCUCCGUUUUAG